rnacentral:rRNA from 1 species
UAUCUCUGUAGAGUCUGCAUAUCAAUAAGCGGAGGAAAAGAAACUAACUAGGAUUCCCUCAGUAACGGCGAGUGAAGCGGGAAGAGCUCAAAUUUGAAAUCUUCAAGGUUUUACCUUGACGAAUUGUAGUUUAAAGAAGUGUUUUCUGUUGGUGUUUUGGUAAAAGUUCUUUGGAAUAGGACAUCAUAGAGGGUGAGAAUCCCGUAUCUGACCAUUACUUCCAGCGUUGUGAUACACUUUCAAAGAGUCGGAUUGUUUGGGAAUGCAGUCCAAAAUGGGUGGUAAAUUUCAUCUAAAGCUAAAUAUUGGCGAGAGAUCGAUAGCGAACAAGUACCGUGAGGGAAAGAUGAAAAGAACUUUGAAAAGAGAGUUAAACAGUACGUGAAAUUGUCAAAAGGGAAGCGUUUGACACCAGUGUUGUUUUCUCGAAAAUCAAUUAAAAAAUGCUUGAUUUUGUGUUGUAUUGACCUUAAAAGCUUUCUUCACUUUUUUCAUGUCUUUUUAAUGCACUUUUCGUUUAACAAGUCAACAUCAGUUUCUUUUGUUGUAAAAAGGUCAUUGGAAGGUGGCUUUCUUUUCGGAGAAAGUGUUUAUAGCCUUUGACUCCUGCAAUCGGAGAGACUGAGGUCUGCAGCGUAGAUCCUUCUUGGAUUAGAUUCAUUUGUGCUAAGUUAUGGCUUUUCAUAGACAACUUGUUGACUAGGUUUAGUCUUGUAGCUUACUCGCUUAUGUAAUUUUACCUACGCUUAGGAUGUUGAUCUCUCACAGUCGAGC